ensembl:lncRNA
AAAAAUAUUAUGAAGUAAAUGUGUUAAACAUUUUUAAUUAAUAUCUUAAGUUAAUACAUUAACUUUUACAAACAUAAAAUAAUGUUUACAAAAAAAUGUUCUCUCUGUCUCUCUCUCUUUUUAACGGACCCGUACUAGCAUACAAAUGAACUCUAAGUCUCCCCUCAUCUGAGUCCCAGUCUUGUUCUUGCAAAACCUCUGCAACAAUGGCACACUUUGGCCAUCUGGUGGCAGUGUUGAGCCUUUGCCUGCUGGCUGCAGUGGUGAAUUCUCAACAGAACACCCCCGAACCUCCUCGUUUAGGACAGGAGAUCUGCACACACUACACUCAGGGUGGGACCCUCCUUCUGGAUGGGCCGAAGGUCUUUGAAAUGAUGCUGAUCGAGUUUGGAAGGGCAAUCCAGACCCUGAACCCUAUGGUGACUCAACAGUGGAUGGAUGAAGUAGAUGAUGAUCAUGACAAACGCCUGAACAUGGCGGAGUGUGCCAAACUCAUCCAGAGAGUGUCUGAUUCCAUUCAGAGGCCUCCGCAAUAAAGAAGCCACAUCUACUGACUUAAGUAACUUGUGCUUGUGUACGGAAGUAGACAUGAAGAAAAAUAAGAUUUCUCAAGCACUUAUUUAGUAGGUCUGUAGCUUAAUAAACAACUGUAAGGCAUCACUCAAAAUUUAAAUGUAGCAAUGUAUUGUUUUAGAAAUUACUUUAAAACAUGGAAUUAAAGAAUUUUAGCCAAAAAUGAAAAAAAUAAAAAUGCCUCAAAAACACACCUGUGAUCUAUGAUGUCUCACUGCAGAAUACUUAAGUUACAUUUUGUACUUUUGUACAUUGGUUGUGGCUGCUGGCAAUGAAUGCAGGUGAAAUAAUAAUACAUAUUUUUAUUUACUACCACUCACAACACACCCGUCAAGGUUUAAAAGUUUUUAGAUAUUCAGCUAGCGUUAGCAUAGCUGCUCUUGGUGCACUUUAAGUAGCAACUGAUACCACAAUGUCAAUGGGUGUUGAAAGCUCAUGCCACACUACCAUCUAUUGACGAGGAUUAGCAAUUUUACUCAUAUUUGUGAGUUUUAUUAAAGCGGUUUACAAAAUAAUUUAUUCGCUUAGCUGUCUCAAAAAGAAAGGAACUUGGGCACAGGAUUUUCUCUUUCAUCAAAUCUUUCCACUUUGUGUAGCCUACACAGUAGUCACCUACAUAUCGAUGUGCUUUAGCAAUGAUUAUGUUUGUUUUUAUGUGUCAUUCUUUCUGUCAUUCUGCUUGUUUGGCCGCUCAGCUAGUGAUUCUCUCAUUGUCUCCGCUGGUAAAGCUCGAUAAUAAGUUUCAUUGUUAUUUUUUGCUCAUCUCAACAAACCAGCUACACUACUAUAGCGUAUCUACAAACGUGGACCACAGUGAGUGUGAGGAUUCUGGAAUUUCACUGUACCCUUAAUGUGUAAACUUUUAAAAUUAACAUCACCCUAUUGAACGCUCUUUUAAAGGCUCCAGUUCAGGCAAGGUUAUGAGGUUUGGCUGGUUAAAGUGAUCUAAUCAGCCUCUGGAGGUGGAUGUUGUAAUUACACAAUCUGAUUGCAAAAGGCAUCUUUAUCAUUUGACAGCCAUUUAAAUGCAUCUGUGUAGGCAGAAUAAAUUCUUCCGUAAGCAGCAUAUAAAUGAGAAAAAAUUUGUUAUAUUGUAGUAGAUAUGUUACUGGUGCCCAAUUCUUAUUGGAGAGUUUUUAAAAGAGUGAAAUGUAUUUAUUUUUUCAUGGUUUGCUGCUUGGACAUCACAGCUCAUAACAGUUCAGCUUAGCAGCUGCCAUUACUAUGAGUAGUCCAAGUGAUACAGUACAGAAAAAUAAAGUAGGUAAAACUUGAAAUAACAGCUUGAAUGUUUUGAGUCUGCAUAGUGUUGCUCAUAAAUGCAUGCCUAAAGCAACUGCACAUGAAACGGAGAAGAUGGUGAGAUGGUUG